UGGGAAACCUGCCCAGAAGCGGGGGAUAACACCUGGAAACAGAUGCUAAUACCGCAUAACAACUUGGACCGCAUGGUCCGAGUUUGAAAGAUGGCUUCGGCUAUCACUUUUGGAUGGUCCCGCGGCGUAUUAGCUAGAUGGUGGGGUAACGGCUCACCAUGGCAAUGAUACGUAGCCGACCUGAGAGGGUAAUCGGCCACAUUGGGACUGAGACACGGCCCAAACUCCUACGGGAGGCAGCAGUAGGGAAUCUUCCACAAUGGACGAAAGUCUGAUGGAGCAACGCCGCGUGAGUGAAGAAGGGUUUCGGCUCGUAAAACUCUGUUGUUAAAGAAGAACAUAUCUGAGAGUAACUGUUCAGGUAUUGACGGUAUUUAACCAGAAAGCCACGGCUAACUACGUGCCAGCAGCCGCGGUAAUACGUAGGUGGCAAGCGUUGUCCGGAUUUAUUGGGCGUAAAGCGAGCGCAGGCGGUUUUUUAAGUCUGAUGUGAAAGCCUUCGGCUCAACCGAAGAAGUGCAUCGGAAACUGGGAAACUUGAGUGCAGAAGAGGACAGUGGAACUCCAUGUGUAGCGGUGAAAUGCGUAGAUAUAUGGAAGAACACCAGUGGCGAAGGCGGCUGUCUGGUCUGUAACUGACGCUGAGGCUCGAAAGUAUGGGUAGCAAACAGGAUUAGAUACCCUGGUAGUCCAUACCGUAAACGAUGAAUGCUAAGUGUUGGAGGGUUUCCGCCCUUCAGUGCUGCAGCUAACGCAUUAAGCAUUCCGCCUGGGGAGUACGGCCGCAAGGCUGAAACUCAAAGGAAUUGACGGGGGCCCGCACAAGCGGUGGAGCAUGU
rnacentral:rRNA from 2 species